rnacentral:rRNA from 1 species
UACGUAGGCAGCAAGCGUUGUUCGGAGUUACUGGGCGUAAAGGGUGCGUAGGCGGUUGUUUUAAGUUUGGUGUGAAAUCUCCCGGCUCAACUGGGAGGGUGCGCCGAAUACUGAAUGACUCGAGUGCGGGAGAGGAGAGUGGAAUUCCUGGUGUAGCGGUGAAAUGCGCAGAUAUCAGGAGGAACACCAACGGCGAAGGCAGCACUCUGGGCCGGUACUGACGCUGAGGAGCGAAAGCGUGGGGAGCAAACAGG